rnacentral:lncRNA from 1 species
AAGUCGGAGUAGGAACUUGUGGAAUUGCUGACAAGCCCAUGACACAGUAUCAAGAUACAUCCAAAUACAAUGUCAGGCAUUUGAUGCCUCAGUAGUGAGAAACUGUUGGAUUUCAUCUCCGCAGGGCUUUACAUUUACCUUUUUAUCCUUAUAUUUUUCUAAAGGUAAAUUAUUUGUUAGAUGAGUAAGGGAGAUCCGUUGUUGUCAUUGUUUGGCUUUGGUAGGAUGAAACUUGAAGACAUUUGAUAACUGCUACCAUGUAACUUUUCAUUGCUACUCACCACAGCUUCUUCAGUAUGUUGAACAAGGCAACUUUUCUAGCUAAGUGCUGCAUAAGUCGGCACGUAGAUGACUUAGGAACGUCAGGCCACUUAACUGAUGUUGUGUGGACAGUUUGUAAGUCCUAACUUGGGAUUUUCAGAUGCUUUGCACUUGAUAUAUUCCAACAGUGCAGUGGAAGGGACAUCAAGGCAAAACGCCAGCCUGCUGAAGAGAGCGGCUUCCGUUUUACAACCUGGCACUGUCCAGACGAGCCCGAGUAUAGGUUAAUUUAUAAAUGGCAAAGUUUAUUUUGAGGUUUUUUUCCUUGAAUUGUUUCCUGGGACUAUUAGGUCACCUCUACAAUUGACUCACCUUGUAUUUUUUGUCAUUGAGUUUGAAUUUUAUAUUAAAAAACCAAACAAACCAUGUUUAGGAUGUGCUC